GGCCGGUUGGCCCAAUGGCAAGGCGUCUGACUACGAUCUACGAUCGAGUAGGGUAUCAGGAGAUUCUGGGUUCGACCCCCAGGCUGGUCA